CCUACGGGAGGCAGCAGUGAGGAAUAUUGGUCAAUGGGCGUAAGACUGAACCAGCCAAGUAGCGUGCAGGAUGACGGCCCUACGGGUUGUAAACUGCUUUUAUACGGGGAUAACGCGCGUUACGUGUAGGGCUUUGCAUGUACCGUAUGAAUAAGGACCGGCUAAUUCCGUGCCAGCAGCCGCGGUAAUACGGAAGGUCCGGGCGUUAUCCGGAUUGAUUGGGUUUAAAGGGAGCGUAGGCCGCAUGUCAAGCGUGCUGUGAAAUGUCCGGGCUCAACCAGGGCAUUGCAGCGCGAACUGGCGUGCUGGAGUGCGCGGAAAGCAGGCGGUAUUCGUCGUGUAGCGGUGAAAUGCUUAGAUAUGACGAAGAACCCCGAUUGCGAAGGCAGCUUGCUGCAGCGGAACUGACGCUGAUGCUCGAAAGCGCGGGUAUCGAACAGGAUUAGAUACCCGAGUAGUC
rnacentral:rRNA from 1 species